rnacentral:rRNA from 1 species
AUUGAACGCUGGCGGCAGGCCUAACACAUGCAAGUCGAGCGAGCGGCGGACGGGUGAGUAAUGUCUGGGAAACUGCCUGAUGGAGGGGGAUAACUACUGGAAACGGUAGCUAAUACCGCAUACCAUCAGAUGUGCCCAGAUGGGAUUAGCGAGUAGGUGGGGUAACGGCUCACCUAGGCGACGCUCCCUCGCUGGGCUGAGAGGAUGACAAGCCACACUGGAACUGAGACACGGUCAAGCCUCCUACGGGAGGCAGAAGUGGGGAAUAUUGCACAAUGGGCGCAAGCCGGCUGCAGCCAUGCCGCGUGUUUGAAGAAGGCCUUCGGGUUGUAAAGCACUUUCAGCGGGGAGGCGUUACCCGCAGAAGAAGCACCGGCUAACUCCGUGCCAGCAGCCGCGGUAAUUC